rnacentral:rRNA from 1 species
GGUUCCUGUCCAACGUUAAUCGGGGCAGGGUGAGUCGACCCCUAAGGCGAGGCCGAAAGGCGUAGUCGAUGGGAAACAGGUUAAUAUUCCUGUACUUGGUGUUACUGCGAAGGGGGGACGGAGAAGGCUAUGUUGGCCGGGCGACGGUUGUCCCGGUUUAAGCGUGUAGGCUGGUUUUCCAGGCAAAUCCGGAGAAUCAAGGCUGAGGCGUGAUGACGAGGCACUACGGUGCUGAAGCAACAAAUGCCCUGCUUCCAGGAAAAGCCUCUAAGCAUCAGGUAACAUCAAAUCGUACCCCAAACCGACACAGGUGGUCAGGUAGAGAAUACCAAGGCGCUUGAGAGAACUCGGGUGAAGGAACUAGGCAAAAUGGUGCCGUAACUUCGGGAGAAGGCACGCUGAUAUGUAGGUGAAGCGACUUGCUCGUGGAGCUGAAAUCAGUCGAAGAUACCAGCUGGCUGCAACUGUUUAUUAAAAACACAGCACUGUGCAAACACGAAAGUGGACGUAUACGGUGUGACGCCUGCCC